rnacentral:tRNA from 1 species
GGGCGGGGGAGCCUUGACUGACUCUUAAUCAGUAGGUUGAAGGUUCGAUUCCUGCCGCGCUCACCA